GUGGCAGCCGCCGGCAGACGAUUCCCAAGCACCGGUGGCGUCGUCGGGCGCUUCUCGGGCGCCAUUGUCGUCCUCGUUGUCGCGAUCGGACCGCGUGUCGUUUGUCGUCCCGUCCGAGGCGCCGUUGUCGUGCUCCUGGCGCUCGGGCGCGCGCUCUGUCACUGGUGUGCUGUCGUCGGUCGCAGUAGGGUCACAGUUGGCGGGUGACGUCGACGCAAAGGAGGUUUCGUCUGCGGUCGCGCUGCUGCCGUCGCUGGUUGUCGUCGCCGUGGUCGUCGCGGUGGGGAUCGGCGUCGACGAUUGUGACUGCACGUCGGUGCUGUCGUCAGACGACGACGACGGCGGCGGCGGC
rnacentral:lncRNA from 1 species